AGAAUGAGGAGUAAGUAAUCCAUCUUAACUUCAGUUGUCUCCAUGCGGCAUGCAGUCCUGUAAUAACAUUUUACGAACAGGAUUGAACUCUAAGUUCUCCAUCUUUGAUAUAAAUCCAGUGACUACAGUUCCAAACAAUACCAAACCAACAAGUGAUUUUGAGAUUCAUUUUCCUAAAUGUAGAGCACUAAUGAGAACAGCCAGAAUUCUUCCAAUCCACGGGGUUCCAUAGAUGAAUCCUGAAUAC